AUAGAUUGACGCGCGUAGUACCAUGCGACUACGCGUUGUCGAUCUGAUAUUUCUGCCGUCAAUCGGAAACGAUGCGGACGUCGCAACCCGUUCGACGUUGGUCGAGGAGCUAUGUAAGAGUUCGUUGUGCGGCGGUGGGUUCGCCCAUCGMUGUGCGGCGAAUUACGUGGUCUUUUUCUGGCCAACAUCGUCGGACGGUAGAAAAGGUGCGGUUAUUGGUGUCGUCUAGCACGACAUCCAACGCCGGUUAGCGACGAAUCUUCGGGCCUCUUUCCGACCCGUCUUGAAACACGGACCAAGGAGUCUAACGUGCGCGCGAGUCGCGGGGUAUCGAGUCGCGUGAAUUUAAAUCGGCGGCUCGUUACAUUACGAAACCCGUGUGUAUGUGAAUGCAAGGCGCAAUGAAAGUGAAAUUUGGGAAGAUGGCGUUCGAGCUCACGUAUCUCGGUCGUCAUGUACCGAGGCCGAACGUCCGCACUCCCAGGGCGUCCUAUCGGCACGUUUCGGAUGCGGAUAGUCGUUUCGCGACGGCUGUCGGUCUUUAACGAGUCGGGGCGCACCUAUAGCGUGCACGUUGGUACCCGAAAGAUGGUGAACUAUGCCUGGCCAGGAUGAAGUCAGGGGAAACCCUGAUGGAGGUCCGUAGCGAUUCUGACGUG
rnacentral:rRNA from 1 species